rnacentral:tRNA from 1 species
UCCCUGGUGGCUCAGAGGUUAAAGCGUCUGCCUGCAAAGCGGGAAACCCAGAUUUGAUCCCUGGGUCGGGAA